rnacentral:rRNA from 1 species
CAGUAGCCGCGGUAAUACGUAGGUGGCAAGCGUUAUCCGGAAUUAUUGGGCGUAAAGCGCGCGUAGGCGGUUUCUUAAGUCUGAUGUGAAAGCCCACGGCUCAACCGUGGAGGGUCAUUGGAAACUGGGAAACUUGAGUGCAGAAGAGGAAAGUGGAAUUCCAUGUGUAGCGGUGAAAUGCGCAGAGAUAUGGAGGAACACCAGUGGCGAAGGCGACUUUCUGGUCUGUAACUGACGCUGAUGUGCGAAAGCGUGGGGAUCAAACAGGAUUAGAUACCCCUGUAGUCCCUGUCUCUUAUAC